GACGAACGCUGGCGGCGUGCCUAAUACAUGCAAGUUGAGCGCUGAAGGUUGGUACUUGUACCAACUGGAUGAGCAGCGAACGGGUGAGUAACGCGUGGGGAAUCUGCCUUUGAGCGGGGGACAACAUUUGGAAACGAAUGCUAAUACCGCAUAAAAACUUUAAACACAAGUUUUAAGUUUGAAAGAUGCAAUUGCAUCACUCAAAGAUGAUCCCGCGUUGUAUUAGCUAGUUGGUGAGGUAAAGGCUCACCAAGGCGAUGAUACAUAGCCGACCUGAGAGGGUGAUCGGCCACAUUGGGAAUGAGACACGGCCCAAACUCCUACGGGAGGCAGCAGUAGGGGAUCUUCGGCAAUGGACGAAAGUCUGAACGAGCAACGCCGCGUGAGUGAAGAAGGUUUUCGGAUCGGAAAACUCUGUUGGUAGAGAAGAACGUUGGUGAGAGUGGAAAGCUCAUCAAGUGACGGUAACUACCCAGAAAGGGACGGCUAACUACGUG
rnacentral:rRNA from 1 species